AUGGAUGUAGGUGUAGAGA
rnacentral:miRNA from 1 species